rnacentral:rRNA from 1 species
UACAGAGGGGGCAAGCGUUAUUCGGAAUUAUUGGGCGUAAAGGGCGCGUAGGCGGCUUUUCAAGUGACGGGUGAAAUCCCUCGGCUUAACCGAGGAACUGCCUGUCAGACUGGAAGGCUUGAGACCGGGAGAGGUGAGUGGAAUUCCCAGUGUAGCGGUGAAAUGCGUAGAUAUUGGGAGGAACACCAGUGGCGAAGGCGGCUCACUGGACCGGUACUGACGCUGAGGAGCGAAAGCUAGGGGAGCAAACGGG